UACGGGGGGGCAAGCGUUGUUCGGAACUACUGGGCGUAAAGGGCUCGUAGGCGGCCAACUAAGUCGGACGUGAAAUCCCCAGGCUCAACCUGGGAACUGUGUCCGAUACUGGAUGGCUUGAAUCCGGGAGAGGGAUGCAGAAUUCCAGGUGUAGCGGUGAAAUGCGUAGAUAUCUGGAGGAAUACCGGUGGCGAAGGCGGCAUCCUGGACCGGCAUUGACGCUGAGGAGCGGAAGCCAGGGGAGCAAACGGG
rnacentral:rRNA from 1 species